rnacentral:lncRNA from 10 species
UUUCCGUCGUAUCAGAGUGCCCUUUUUUCAAUCCUCCUGCGAUUGGCUACUUUUAGAAUCCUGCUGAUUGGUGCAUUUUACAGAGUGCUGACUGGUGCAUUUUACAGAGCACUGAUUGGUGCAUUUUACAGAGUACUGAUUGGUGCGUUUUACAAACCUCUUGUAAGGCAGGAAAGUUCCUGAUGGGUGCGUUUUACAAACCUCUUGUGAAACAGGAAAGUUUCCCAAGUCCCCACUCGACCCAGGAAGUUCAGCUGGCUUCACGUCUCAACAGGAAGCCCUUCAUGUAUCAGCCCACUGCCUCCAAGUUUCUGUGUCUUCGGGUUCCCCAGCAUCAGUCCCCACCAUGCCAGCCUCCUCCAGAGCCUCACACUCCCAGAUCCCUUCAUUCACUGAAUCAAAGACUGAUGAAUCGCUUGCCCUUGCUGUGUUGAGUUUGGAAAGCGCAACCCAAAUCAUCCCAUUUUGUCAGGACUGCAGCUUGGUCAGGGGAAGCGCUGGUCAGCAGUGAUGCACUGGGACACCCACCAGAGCUACUGGCUGGCAGCUCGGCUAAUGCGGAUCUUUUUCCAUUAACUGCAGUUUCUUGCUUAUGUCCACAUGGUGAAGCCUCACUUCAGAAAAUACAGUUCUCUUGGCUCAUCUCAUGGGAUGUGAACAUCAUAGAACAUCAUGCUGGCAACAGUUUUAACGUUUAUAGAUAUGCAAUUUCGGUUGCAUCUAUAUAUAAGCCAACAGCUUUAACUGGGUCUCAAUCCAUUUACCAAUGCUAGAAGAAAUCUUGUUUUUGCAUUCAUUGAAGAACCGAUGUCAUUCUCCAGUAUGACAACUGAGUAUUUCAAGUCCCGCUUCUUGAGCUUCUUGGACUCCUUCACCCCUGCGUAAGAUGGGAUUUGAGAUGGAAGACUGGCAUAUGCCAUGUCUUCCUUCUCUCUGCGUGAUACUGAUUUGUAAAUUCACCUGCUUUUAAUCAGUCUGUAAUCUUGGGUGUCAGUGCCUCAGAGCUGCUCCUCCUGCAUGUAUAGACUGCAAAACAGUGGUAGGGAAGGAGCAUUGCCAGGCAAAAGCCUCAGAAAAAAGAAAAUAAAAACUCCACGACAAGCA